CAGCGCAUCCAGCAGCUAACACCGCGGACCUACGGUCCCCUCGGGACUGGGCCUGACACCCCUCGUUCCGCGCGGGCCCUGCCAGCCCCCUAACGGGCGUUCUUCAACCCCAGCCCCCCCGGCGCUCCCCGCACCCCUCAGCAGCGCCGCAGCGGGGCAGCAGCCGCCGGAUCCCCGCACCGCGCAGGCGCCAGCUCCGCGGGACAAGCCCGGGCCCGUCCCCCCUCGCCUCAGGGGGCUCUCCCGGGCGGCGGCUCGGGCUGCCCGCUGCACGGCGGGGGGAACGGCCGCGGCGGCACCCGCCCCACCGCCCCGACCAGGCGCAGCCCGCACCCCGGGGGUCCGGCCCGCGCCCGUACCUUGAUCCCCGCCUCGCUGCUCCCGUCUAUCAGAGGAAGGGCCCGAGGUGGUGUCGCCCGCCCCGAGCAGCGCGGACCGGCGCGGAUCAGCGCGGCGCGGCACCCACCCGCCGGCACGACCCCCAGCACGCCAUGCAGCCGCGCACGGCGCCCACCGCUCCGCUGUGCUGCGCUGCGCUCCGCCGGGCAGGGGGCGGGGCUGCGCGCUGACGGACUGACACGCAGCCUAAUCACGGAGCGCGCACGGCUGGAGGGGCGGGGCGCCUCUUAAGCCGAGCGGGGCGGGCGCCGCGGCGCCCUCUGGUGGUGCACCACAAGAUGGCGGGCGGGGCCUCACAAGAUGGAGGGCGGGGCCUCCUCAGGUGCCACCGCCCCCGCUCCCCGCCGAGGGCGGCUGGGCAGCGCGUGGAGAUCCGGCCUCGCCGCGGUUCCGUGCUGUGGCCACGGAGGUGCGUGCCGUGUGCCCCUAGCCGCGGGUGUUGUCUGAGAAUCGUCUUGAAUCCAGAGGCCUGUAGAUGGCAAUCUUGCGCUGCAUUGGAGAAGCAAUCAUUGGAGAAGCAAUUCCCAACAUCCUGCACAGCUCCUGGUAGGCAUGGGUGGGCUGGGGGGAAGGGACAGGGGACAGCAACAGAAGAAUUGAGAUUUCCGUUCUUCAAUCUUGGAGAUUUGCUUCUCUCAGAAUAUUUCCUCACAGCCCCUUAAUCCUCAGGACAGUGCAGCAAUUAUCUUGGAAGGAAGGAAGGCGGUAGCUGUGCAGCAGUUAAGCAGUUAGAGCAGUGAUUCUUCCUUAGUGAGUCCAAGAAAGCAAAGCUGCAGCAGUGAUGCCCUGUUCCCGUCUGAGCACCCAGAUCCCCCUCCGGUAGCUCUGCAGGGCUGAGCAGAGUCUUAACUUUCUUUCAUCAUGGAGCAUGGCUCCGAAGUUCAAGAAGUUUGGAAACCAGUUUGACAUAAUACAACCAACUUCUUUAAAAACAGUUCUGCCAAGUACAUAAAUGGGUCUGUUGGAGGACGGUUGAGGAUGAAAUGGGCCAUGUCAGUUCUUGGCUUUCAUGAUUAUUCAUCUUAUAACCUUUAUUGGUAGCACUUAAAAUAGAAAAGGUCCAGAGUUUAAAGUAUAUUUUGGAAAAUAUAGUAUAUUUUCUGGAUGAAGCUGAGAGAAGGGAAACUUUGGGUGACCAGCUUUUAAGGGCAGCUGCCAAGGAGAAGGAAGACUGAAGUGACAUUUAAACAUUGUAUGCACAAAUUAUUUUCUGCUUAUAUAAUUUUAUAAUAGAUUUUUGCUGGCUGUUCUGAACCACUGAAUUUAUCUAAGUAAUUUUCCUUUUUGAUAUUAAGGGCUUACACUAGUAUGAAAAUCCUAGCAACUGCUUGCUGAAGUCUGAAGACUUCAUUGAAUCUCAGACGUGUUAUUUGAGGAUGAUUUCUCUCACACCAUCAUUCAGGGAUGGGGGAAGGGGUUUCCCUCAAGAACCCCCAAAGCCUGUCUUCUAAAUUUAGUGCUCUAGAAGCAUGUUUGCUUUGUGCUGUAUAAUUCAUUAGAAUCCUCAGAGAUGCACCAGCACAAGUGGGGAGAGAAACCCCGAGAUUGGAAACUGCAGAACAGUAACUCCAUUCUGCUCAGUACAGGGAGAGCAAUUUAUGUGACCCGAGGGAAAUGGGUGGCUUCAGAGCUCAGGUUAAGGAAAAAAAAAGUUCUGUCUUGAUGUAAGUCAUACAGUAAAUUAACAUCAGCCAUGCUAUCUUAACACUCUUUCAUUGAGAGAAUUUAAAAUCCAAAUGACAUAAGCAGGAGGUGGACUUCAUUUUCAGCUAAAAUGCAAGUGUAAUUCUGCGGUUACAUCACUAAUCUGAUCAUUUGCAAAAUUAAUCUUUAGUUGAACUGGGUAUGUUAAGUAAAGGGAAUCUGAUAGUAUGGACCUGCAGUGGUUUAAUCCAAUUGGAAUUGUGUGUGGCUGCAGGUACGCUCUCCCUGCCAAAUGUUCUUCUUAGCUUUGAUGUGUGUAUGACCCUAGGGUCAGGUGGCUGAGCUGAUCUAGAUCAAGACUUUCAUUUUUUUUCAUUAGUUUCAUUACUGGUUAGUUUUCAGCUGAUCAGCUCCCUGAGCUGCUUAAUGCUUAGUCACACACAAGUCACUUCCAGUGAGAAUUUUGAUAAAUUGACUGUUAUGGAAAUCCACCCUACUGUUUCCCCUCAUGCAUUAGAGCUACAUCAAGGAUAACUUAUUCACUUUGGUUUAAACUUGCAGUUAACCUCCUUGAAUGUGAGUACAAAAGGCACUGAUGUCAUAACAAGAUAAGCAGUGUACUGAAUUCUCAGCGAGGUUGGUUCUCUAGAAAAUGAAGAAGGAAAGCUAUAUGAAGCAGUUUUAUUGUUUAGAAUUCCCCUCAGGCUGACAUUACUUAUUCCUUUUUUUUUUUUCUUUCUCAACUAGCCACAGAUCCAGAUUUAAUCCUUGUUAUCUAGUUUUUAAUGAAAGUUAGACAGAAGCUCUCCACAUGAGAAAUCCAACCCAGUUAUCAAGCUCCAAGGGAGACGAAGGCAGGAGGCUUUUCUUACCCUAAGGCAGGCUGAAGUACUGCUGACUGAAAGAUUUUUUGGAAGCCAUACAAUGAAUCAUCGCAAUGCACAUCUCAAUCGAAGGGAAAAAGAUCUAACAAAUCCAACUCGGCAAUUUUUUGUUAAAGUGUUAGUGAAGCUUGACGUUCUUAGUCUCAUUACUUCUACAACAGAAGUUCUGCUUCUGGCUUAAGGUACCUUUUAAAGGAGGGCUCAACAGCCAAUUCCAAAUAAACCUAAUAGGAAAUUGGCUUUUUUCA
rnacentral:lncRNA from 1 species